AUUUUCACUUUUCACUGAUCCAAAGGAGGUCACGUGGGAUUGCUUGAAAAUGGCGAAACGAAACUUGUGAAUCGUGCAUUUGCUCUUCUUGGUAGCUGCCAGAAAAUCGAAUCAAGCUUAUGGGACACUGGAUUACAGGUUGCUGCCACUACUCCAUGUGCCCGCAAUUGUCUUGCGUGUAUGAUUACACUAACGGCGUCGCCCACCACGGCGGAAGUGUUUUGCGUACACGCGUUUCAGCAUGAAGCCUGCAGGUGGACGUAAAUUGUAGAAGGCAGCUAGUGGGGGAGAAGAUCAUGGUCAUAGGUCAUGUGACUCCUGGAGCUCCCAGUGGGCUCCCUUGUGGAGUACUUUUCAGAACACACACACAUACAGUUUGCUCACAGAACCAACGAGUAGGAUGUUGCUUGAAUACUGAGAGAAAAUGGCGUAACACAUACAAAUAUCGUGUGACACAUAUGACAAUAAAAACAUUUUUCACGAGGGAUGCAUGAAACACUGUCGCAAUAUUGUGUGCAUGAACCAUUGUGUGUGACACAAGCCGUGGGGGCACACUGCCUCGGACACAUUUUGGGAAGCAUAAAACACAGUAUAUACAGAGCUAGUAUGGUGGAUGCUUCUUUUUUCUUUUUGGCCGUUAUGAGACAUCUUCGGCCGUAAUGAGACUAUCUUCGGCCGUAUUGAGACUUUGGCCGUAACGAGACACUUGGGGAUUAAAGGAUUUUCGGCCGUAAUGAGACUUUCGGCCGUA